rnacentral:rRNA from 1 species
CCUACGGGAGGCAGCAGUGAGGAAUAUUGGUCAAUGGCCGGAAGGCUGAACCAGCCAUGCCGCGUGAAGGUCAGUGCCCUAUGGGCGUUAAACUUCUUUUGUGCGGGAGCAAUAAUGGUCACGUGUGGCCAGACGAGAGUACCGUACGAAUAAGCAUCGGCUAACUUCGUGCCAGCAGCCGCGGUAAUACGGGGGAUGCAGGCGUUAUCCGGAUUUAUUGGGUUUAAAGGGUGCGUAGGCUGUGAGGUAAGUCAGCGGUGAAAUGCCUCCGCUCAACGGGGUGAAGUGCCAUUGAUACUGGCUGGCUGGAAUGCGGAUGCCGUGGGAGGAAUGUGUGGUGUAGCGGUGAAAUGCAUAGAUAUCACACAGAACACCGAUUGCGAAGGCAUCUCACGAAUCCGCGAUUGACGCUGAUGCACGAAAGCGUGGGUAUCAAACAGGAUUAGAUACCCCGGUAGUC